rnacentral:rRNA from 1 species
UGGGGAAUUUUGGACAAUGGGCGAAAGCCUGAUCCAGCAAUGCCGCGUGUGUGAAGAAGGCCUUCGGGUUGUAAAGCACUUUUGUCCGGAAAGAAAUCCUUGGCUCUAAUACAGUCGGGGGAUGACGGUACCGGAAUGAAUAAGCACCGGCUAACUACGUGCCAGCAGCCGCGGUAAUACGUAGGGUGCAAGCGUUAAUCGGAAUUACUGGGCGUAAAGCGUGCGCAGGCGGUUUGCUAAGACCGAUGUGAAAUCCCCGGGCUCAACCUGGGAACUGCAUUGGUGACUGGACAGGCUAGAGUAUGGCAGAGGGGGGUUAGAAUUCCACGUGUAGCAGUGAAAUGCGUAGAGAUGUGGAGGAAUACCGAUGGCGAAGG